ensembl:lncRNA
GCCAAGCCCAGCCCCUGCCCCACGCGCCCCUGCUCCUGCACCUGCCUGGUCUCAGCCUCCCUGGGCUCCGCCCCCAGGCACCGGUUCUGCUGGUAGAGCCCCAGCCCGAUGGGGUCUGCUGGGGGUGGGGCACGUGGACAAGCAGCACAGGGGGCUCGCCUCGGAUGCUCCAGAGGCCUGCACAGCAGGGUAGGAGAGUGUCCCCCAGGCCUCGCCAGCGUGGCCGAGUGCCCUGCACUCAGGCCAGCAAGGUUAUGCCCACGGCACCACUUCUUUGUCGCGGGUCUAAGGUGAGAAGGCAUUUGUCUGCUGGAGCCUCGGUUUCCAGUUUCCCACACCCACAGAUAAUGGAAGCCCCUCAUACCGUCUCAGGAGCAGCCCUUCGGAAGACACUGCUUUCGUGUCCUGCAGCCCUGGCCUCCUGCCUGGGUACCAAGCAGACACUGCUCGCAAAGAGGACCCUGCGGGCAUCCUUGGCUGCUCCCUUGGCAGGAGCGAGCGGUGGAUGCCUCCGAGGGGCGGGGCUGGUGCUGUCCCUGCCCCCCAACCCCGGCCCCGGCCCCACCACUUGGCUGCUGCCGGAGCUGCUGUCCUUUGCACAAGGAGUCAGGGUAACCCCUGGGGGUGCACUGCCCGUGUUCCUCCCUGCAGCCUCUCUCAGCUAGGGAACGUCGCUCCCUCGCUGCUCCGCUGGGCUCCCCCGCCGCUCUGCGCCUUUAACGUCUACCAGCCACUGAGGCUCCGCGUGUGCCCGGCACCGAGCUCAGCUCUUUGCAAACACUGCCUCUUCUGAUGCCCUCAACAACCCUACAGACCGCCUCCCCCACCAGAUCGGCCAUGACUCUGCCUGCUUAGGAACCCCUGUGUCUCCAGAGCUACUGUUACUUCCAACAAGCAAGCUGCAGAACAGAAUGUAUCGUGUCAUCUUUUAAAAGCACAAAUACUGGGUUUCCCUGGGUGACUCAGUGGUAAAGAAUCGCCUGCCAAUGCCGGAGACACGGGUUCGAUCCCUAAUCCAAGAUCGCCCAUGUCUCGAGGUCGCUAAACCCGUGUAUCGCAACCACUGGAGCCCACACUCUACAGCCCAUGAUCUACAAGAGAAGUCACUGCAAGGAGAAGCCCACGAAGGACAAGUUCAGAGUAGACCCCACGCACCGCAACUAGAGAAAGCCCGUGUGUGGCAAGAAAGGCCCAGCGCAGCCAAAAGUAUAAGAAUAAACGAAUAACUAAAAUUAUAAAAACACAAAUACUAACAUUUACUUGUAAAUGCACCGGGAAAUCCAGAGGAAUAUAUAUAAAAAAUAGUUUAAAAAAA